rnacentral:rRNA from 1 species
AUGGAGAACUGCAUAAACGAGUUGAUGCGUGACACUGAAGGUGCCCAUGCAAAUGCAGGAUUUGUAAACAAGAUGGCUCAGUGCCUCAGGAGUUUGGGGAUACAACAUCAGAUUACCAACCGGAUCGAGGAGGUCAAAGUUCUCAUGGUGGAGAUGUCGACGAUCUACAUGGAGGUAGCAGGUCUUGUUGGUGUUGAUGGCCUAAGAGAAGAGCUUGUCAGUUUGUUGACAGAUUCUCAGAAGAAACUCAAAGUGGUUUCCAUCAUGGGGUUUGGAGGGGUCAGGAAGCAGGCCUCCUUCCUCGAAAAUGAGCACGACUCCAUGAAAGCUCUCCUUGACAAGAUCUAG